rnacentral:rRNA from 1 species
AGCUCUCUGCCAAUAUGUAAAUAGAAGUAUGGAGGGUGAGGCCUGCCCAAUGGUUGUAUCUAAAAGGGUCGGUAAAAGCCGACCUCAUAAAGACAAUUCAAUGGCCGCGGUAACACUGACCGUGAUAAUGUAGCGUAAUCAAUAGCCAAUUAAUUGUUGGCCGGUAUGAAUGGCGUCACGAAGGCCCCACUGUCUUAAGAAAAUUCCCAGUGAAAUUGAAUUCGUAGUGAAGAUGCUACGUCCAAAUUGUUAGACGAAGAGACCCCAUUGAGCUUUACUGGAAACUUAUACGGCUGAAAUAUAUUUGGCUCAUAAAGACUGAUCUCGAUAAGAUCUAUUAAGAGCGAGGGAUUUAAACUUAAAUAAAUAGCUAAAUUAUGUGGUGUAAGACAUUUUGUCAAAGUCUUAUUCUUCGAUCCUACUCUCAUAAAGAGAAAAGGGAUCUUAAUCUAAGAUUUUACCGUUUUAGGCUAUCGGUCGAAGCCGUAGGUCAAUGGAGCCCACUUUUUUAUUUUAAGAAAGCUAACUCUCUUUCAUGAUUUUGAAAUGAUGAGAGAAACAACGUAAGUUAGACAGUUUGGUUGGGGCGACCGCCUUUUAAAAAGUAACAAAGGUGAGCUUAAGGUGCAUAAUUAAUAACAGCAACCUGACUGCAAGGGGGACGUCCCGAGCAGACACCAGAAGCCGACAAGAACUAUAAUCUGUAAUAGAUACAAAUUCUUAAAGCGGAAAAGGGUGGGCUAUAAUGACCCGUUAAUUUAGAGUGAGAUAGUUAACGAUCAACGGAUAAAAGCUACCAUGGGGAUAACAGCGUAAUAUCGUUCGAGAGCUUCCAUCGACGACGAUGUUUGCGACCUCGAUGUUGAAUUGCAGCAUCCUGGGGUGCAGUCGCUCCCAAGGGUUGGUCUG